UCCCCCUUGCGGGGGCAGUCUCGUAUGAGAAAUACAACAUACGACGAGGGUUGCGCUCGUUGGAGGACUUAACCCGACAUCUCACGACACGAGCUGACGACGACCAUGCAGCACCUGUCUUCUGGCUUCCUUGCGGACACCCUUCUAUUUCUAAAAGGUUCCAGAGAUGUCAAGUCCUGGUGAGGUUCUUCGCUUAGUGUCGAAUUAAACCACAUGCUCCACCGCUUGUGUGGAUCCCCGUCAAUUCCUUUGAGUUUUAGCCUUGCGGCCGUACUCCCCAGGCGGGUUACUUAACGCGUUAGCUUAGGCUCGUACGGGGUCGAGACCGCACAAACCGAGUAACCAUAGUUUAGGGCGUGGACUAC
rnacentral:misc_RNA from 1 species